rnacentral:rRNA from 1 species
AAGCGUUAUCCGGAAUUACUGGGCGUAAAGCGUGCGUAGGUGGAUAGCUAAGUGAGACAUUAAAUCCCGUGGCUCAACCAUGAGGCUGUGUUGCAUACUGAUUAUCUAGAGGACAUGAGAGGCAAGUGGAAUUCCUGGUGUAGCGGUGAAAUGCGCAGAUAUCAGGAAGAACACCAAUGGCGAAAGCGCCUGUCUGGCCCAAUACUGACGCUGAUGCGCGAAAGCUAGGGGAGCAAACGGG